rnacentral:rRNA from 1 species
GACGAACGCUGGCGGCGUGCCUAAUACAUGCAAGUAGGACGCAGAUGCGAACGGGGGAGUAACGCGUAGGUAACUACCUAUUAGAGGGGGAUAACUAUUGGAAACGAUAGCUAAUAACGCAUACUAGUAGAUGGACCUGCGUUGUAUUAGCAAGUAGGGAGGGGAAUGGCCUACCUAGGCACCGAUACAUAGCCGGCCUUAGGAGGUGGUCGGCCACACCGGGACUGAGGCAAGGCCCAAACCCCGUCCGGGGGCAGAAGUAGGGGAACUUCGGCAAAUGGGGGAACCCUUAACGAGCCACGCCGGGUGAGUGAAGAAGGUUUUCGGAUCGUAAAGCUCUGUUGUUAAGGAAGCGGUACUUAACCAGAAAGGGCCGGCUAACUACGUGCCAGCAGCCGCGGUAAUUC